rnacentral:rRNA from 1 species
GUGAGGAAUAUUGGUCAAUGGACGAGAGUCUGAACCAGCCAAGUCGCGUGAAGGAAGACGGUUCUAUGAAUUGUAAACUUCUUUUGUGCAGGAAUAAAGUGGGUUACGUGUAACCUUUUGUAUGUACUGUACGAAUAAGGAUCGGCUAACUCCGUGCCAGCAGCCGCGGUAAUACGGAGGAUCCGAGCGUUAUCCGGAUUUAUUGGGUUUAAAGGGUGCGUAGGUGGAUUGAUAAGUCAGCGGUGAAAGUUUGCAGCUUAACUGUAAAAUUGCCGUUGAAACUGUCGAUCUUGAGUGCAAAUGAGGUAAGCGGAAUGUGUUGUGUAGCGGUGAAAUGCUUAGAUAUAACACAGAACACCGAUUGCGAAGGCAGCUUACUGGGAUGCAACUGACGCUCAUGCACGAAAGCGUGGGGAUCAAACAGGAUUAGAAACCCGUGUAGUCC